GCCAACUUAGCUCAGCUGGUAGAGCAGCACCCUCGUAAUGUGCAGGUCGUCGGUUCAAGUCCGAUAGUUGGCUCCA
rnacentral:tRNA from 1 species